rnacentral:lncRNA from 1 species
UCCUUCAAAUAUUUAAUGUAAGUGUUAACAGUAACAGUAACCAAGAUGAUGUUUCAUCUCCACAGUGAGUGAUGGCUGGCACCAAGACCUGCCUGAUGCUGGUGGUGCUGGUGCUCUCUCUCUGCUGGACGCCCUCGCUCCUUGAAGCGCGAAGCUUGGCCUCAUUCAGGAACGUGUACAGGGCCAGAGGAGGACAUAACGCCAACAGACCCCUCACGGGAGCGUUGAUAGCUGGGAACAGAAAUAGCCCUUCACCGCGUGUGAGUUUUGGUCCCCAAUUCUGGCGAGGCAGAUGAAGCCUUGAUCAACACUGUCGUCGAUGUUAACACUCAGGAAGAGAUUCAGCUCCAGAUGUGAAUUAACUUAGAGAAAGUUUUCUGUUAAGUUUAUGUACAAUUGCUAACGAACGUUUCCAUACUAUAUCAGGAAUAAAUUCGCCAUAUGUACUUGAAAUAAAUUAAAUUAUAAGGAUUUUUCUGUAUAAUGUUUGUACCUCUCUACACUUUAUCCAGCAAACAAUUAGUUUUUUUUAUCAUUAAUGUAAGCUGAAGUUCGCAUGAUCAACUGUGUUAUUACUAAAGGUUGAGAAUGUUCCGCUUAUGCUCAAGACUGACCACCCCUGCAGCUGUGGUCUUUAACUGAAACGAGAAGGUUGAUUUGCAUCACAAAAUGUGCGUUUAAUACAAGACUUCAUAUGAUUUUGGCAUCAUCGGCAAACAUUGAGAGCAAUACGUCUAUAUCCUUUGGAAGAUCGUUUACAUAUAUCAGAAACAAGAUGGGUUCAAGUACAGAGCCCUGUGGGACUCCGCUGGUGACAUCUUGACACUCUGAGGUCUUCCCCACUCACAGUAACUCUGUGUUUUUGUUGCUACGAUACUCCCUUAUCCACUGGAGCUCCUUACCUGUUAUUCAAGUCUGUUUUUUUCCAACUUCUGUACCAGCCUCAUAUGGGUAUUGUGUCAAAGGCUUUCUGGCAGCCUAAGAAAAUGCAGUUUGCCCACAUCUUUCUUUCUGGUCAUAUUUUUAUCAUAAAAUUUUCUUAAACCUGUGAGGCAUGAUAAUCCCUGAACCUAUGCUGGUGGUGUGUUACAAAGUUCCUCUCUAGAUGUUCUACGAGCUUUUUCCUCACGAUCUUUCCUUUCACAAUCUUUCAAAUCUUUCCUACUUAACAGAACAACAACAAUCUGGCCAGUUAGAACCCGGGGUGGGGAAUAUAUAAGGGUUUUGCCCCGUGAAGAUUCCCCAACAGGAUGUACACAUAUAACAGUUGCCAGUCUCUUAAAAUGAAUAUAUAAGAACAGAUCGGGAGACCCUAUGCACUUGCCCACGUAACGCUGGUGAGUGCGUAUACGCUCACGCAAGUAACGCGGUUGAGUGCAUAUACGCUCACGCAAACACUAAAGACUGCAGACGAACCAGAAAACUACUGCUUUAAACUCCAAAGAGGUGAAGGAUGAUGACUGGCUGGGUGACCUUCCUGGCGUGGGUGGUUGUGUUGCUGCUCUGUGGCGCUCCCUCACCGGCUCUGUCUGAGAAGGUAGGGCGGCCGGGUGUUCCUGGAGGCGGCGCCAGGCUGGCCAGACACGCCCAGAUCAGUGGUGCACGCCGUCGUUCUGAUGAUCCUCAUCUUUUGUAUAAAAAUAGUAUUAGUUGUAUUAGAGGUGGAGAUGAUGCCUGCGAACCGAGCGCGGGAGCGGCAUUUACUUUGAAGUUAGACAAUGAGCCUGUUCGGAUACCUCCAAUCAGGUUUGGGCCCAGUACUCCAUCCAGGCCAAGGUUUCCGUUGUGGCACUGGGACUAACUUCACGUCAUCUGGCUGAGGCGUCACCUGGCUGAUGGCGUCACCUGGCUGAUGGCGUCACCUGGCUGAUGGCGUCACCUGGCUGAUGGCGUCACCUGGCUGAGGGCAUCACCUGGCUGAUGGCGUCACCUGGCUGAGGGCAUCACCUGGCUAAUGACAUAUACUCAACACUUGCGGAGUUCAGAACAAGCAAAACUCCUCCAACAUUGCAUUUUCUAUAUAUAUAAAUAAAACAUAAUAAAACGAUA